rnacentral:rRNA from 1 species
AACGAACGCUGGCGGCAGGCUUAACACAUGCAAGUCGAGCGCCCCGCAAGGGGAGCGGCAGACGGGUGAGUAACGCGUGGGAAUCUACCCAUCUCUACGGAAUAACGCAUGGAAACGUGUGCUAAUACCGUAUACGUCCUUCGGGAGAAAGAUUUAUCGGAGAUGGACGAGCCCGCGUUGGAUUAGCUAGUUGGUGGGGUAAAGGCCUACCAAGGCGACGAUCCAUAGCUGGUCUGAGAGGAUGAUCAGCCACACUGGGAGUGAGACACGGCCCAGAGUCCUACGGGAGGCAGCAGUGGGGAAUAUUGGACAAUGGGCGCAAGCCUGAUCCAGCCAUGCCGCGUGAGUGAUGAAGGCCCUAGGGUUGUAAAGCUCUUUCACCGGUGAAGAUAAUGACGGUAACCGGAGAAGAAGCCCCGGCUAACUUCGUGCCAGCCGCCGCAGUAAGAC